GAUGAACGCUGGCGGCGUGCCUAAUACAUGCAAGUCGAGCGAACAGACGAGGAGCUUGCUCCUCUGACGUUAGCGGCGGACGGGUGAGUAACACGUGGAUAACCUACCUAUAAGACUGGGAUAACUUCGGGAAACCGGAGCUAAUACCGGAUUAUAUAUUGAACCGCAUGGUUCAAUAGUGAAAGACGGUUUUGCUGUCACUUAUAGAUGGAUCCGCGCCGCAUUAGCUAGUUGGUAAGGUAACGGCUUACCAAGGCAACGAUGCGUAGCCGACCUGAGAGGGUGAUCGGCCACACUGGAACUGAGACACGGUCCAGACUCCUACGGGAGGCAGCAGUAGGGAAUCUUCCGCAAUGGGCGAAAGCUUGACGGAGCAACGCCGCGUGAGUGAUGAAGGUCUUCGGAUCGUAAAACUCUGUUAUUAGGGAAGAACAAAUGUGUAAGUAACUAUGCACGUCUUGACGGUACCUAAUCAGAAAGCCACGGCUAACUACGUG
rnacentral:rRNA from 1 species